rnacentral:lncRNA from 1 species
UUCGGUUCGGGAGAUUUGCCCAGCCCUAGAUACAAGGCCCAAUGGAGCCUUUUUACAAAUAAUCUCUCAUGGAUUUAUUGGUGCUGUACUUUUUUUUUUUUUUUUUUUUGGCAAGAACGACUUAUGAUAGAAUAUUUCUUGCUUAACUUGACGAAAUAGGUGGAAUAGCUAUCCCAAUGCCAAAAAUAUCCACAAUAUUCAGUAGCUUUUCGAUGUUCUUCCUUGCAUUACCAGAUAUCAGUGGUUUUGUUGCCAAAUUAAUAAUAUUUUGGGACUAAUCAACAAUCAAAAGUACCUUUUAAUUCCAAAAAUACUAAUUACUUUUGUAAUGGCAAUUGGAAUGAUAUUAACUCCUAUUCAUUCAUUUAUUUAUUUACUUAUAUUACUUGAUAUAUUAAUAUAAAAUUAUUCUACUUUUAAUGAAUAAUUGAAUUUC